UACGGGGGGGCGAAGCGUUGUUCGGAAUUACUGGGCGUAAAGGGCUCGUAGGCGGCCAACUAAGUCAGACGUGAAAUCCCUCGGCUUAACCGGGGAACUGCAUCUGAUACUGGAUGGCUUGAGUUCGGGAGAGGGAUGCGGAAUUCCAGGUGUAGCGGUGAAAUGCGUAGAUAUCCGGAGGAACACCAGUGGCGAAGGCGAACACGCUGGGCCGUACCUGGAACACU
rnacentral:rRNA from 1 species